AUUUCCUAUUUGCAUGUAAUUUAAGGUCCAUUUUCUAAACAUUAAGAAGCUCAUCGGUUUCACAAUCGGGGUUACCUCUAGAAUCUAUUUGGGGCAAUCUAAUUUCAGUUAAUUUCAAUUGUAACUCCAAAUCACUUUACUGAAUUGUAAAUCGGUUUACUGAAUUGUUAUUUCCAGUACAUGGUCUCUCAUAAUUUUAUUUAUACUAUCUAUCUGGUUAUGCAGCUCUUGGAAAUUAUUAAAACAAAUGCCAUAAUUGCUGGAUGUCAUUUUUUUCUUUGGUCUUUUUUUUUUCAUUUUUCUUACUCUAUAGAAUUUUUUUGUGCAGUUGACUUUCUUCAAAACGUUUUUCAACUUUUCUAUAUGCAUAUUUAAUGACUAAAUCAGCAUGUAGAAAUGGUAGAGUAAUAAAUUAAUGAAAGUUAUUAAUUGACC
rnacentral:misc_RNA from 1 species